rnacentral:rRNA from 1 species
AUCUGGAGAGUUUGAUCCUGGCUCAGAACGAACGCUGGCGGCGUGCCUAACACAUGCAAGUCCAACGUGAAAGGGGAGCAAUCCCCCGGUAGGGUGGCAAACGGGUGAGUAAUACAUGGGUGAUCUACCUUAGGGAUGGGGAUAUCCUUCCGAAAGGAGGGGCAAUACCGAAUAUUGUCCGGAGCCAUGAAGGGUUCCGGGGAAAGGGAGGCCUCUGAUACAAGCUUUCGCCUUAAGAUGAGCCCAUGGCCCAUCAGCUAGUUGGUAGGGUAAAGGCCUACCAAGGCUACGACGGGUCGCUGGUCUGAGAGGACGACCAGCCACACUGGCACUGAGAUACGGGCCAGACUCCUACGGGAGGCAGCAGUGAGGAAUAUUGCGCAAUGGGGGAAACCCU